AGGCUAAGAACUCGGAAGACGAGCCACAAUCAGGAACUGAAGGGUUGCGCGUACUAUAGUGGACUAAGCCAACAAGUUUGUCACUGGAUCCACCGACUGUAAAGAUUAUCCACAGCUAGCCAUUUCUUGAAGGGGAAAUUUGAAGGAAAUUCUCCAAAAAUGUUCUGCAACACUUUUCAGAAAGCUUUAUAAAUGCCAUUCUUUUGAAAAGUCUUAGCAGCAGGGCAAGUCAACUCCCAAUUUCCAAAUGUCCUCAAGAUUAGCAUAUUACAAAACCUUAACACUACACCAGACAUCCACCCACGUGACAAGAGUUUAAGAAGAAAAGAUACUAAUGCAACAAGUCAUUAAAGGUGAAGUUUCACCUGUGACUCAGCCUGUGAUAGACAUGGUGUACUUCGGUUAGGAAGAAUAGGGGUAAUUUUAACAAAACUUGUGCCAGCAAGGGAAUAUCUGAAGGAUGUCAAUUGCUGUUUUCAGAUAUUCAGAUAUUAAUAUUCAGAGGUGCUGAAUAAAAAUAAAACAAAUUUCUUAAACUAAUCAAGUCUUUUAAAGGCUUCAUACCAUUAAUGUCAGCAGGUUCAACUAAUGAUGGUCAGGCUGCAAUGCAACAGCCAUAAGAACAAGUUAGACAAGGUAAGGUACCUGCCUGGUCAAAACAACUAAAACAAAAACAAUUUUAUAAAGUUCAACUGGGUGUGUAUACUUAACUAUGUAAUAAGACCAAUCAGAGUUCAACACAGUGGUGCCCUUCAUCACCUACACGAUGUAGGCUUUCAUUUCAGUAACAGCCUGCAAUAAUGAGUUUUCCAUUUUGGGAAAACUUCGUUAUGAAGCAUGUCUUGAUAAAACAAGCAGGUAGUGCCAUAGGGUUCGAUGACAAAACCAUCCCAUCCUGAAACUACAUUAACUACACCAACUUACUCCAACAGUACUGGGUGGUUUGGAAUGGACAAGUAUCUGCUUCGAGUUUAUAUAAGGUCAGACAUAAGGGCAAUCUUGGAAAAACAAGGACAGGUAAUGGUGCCAGUGGCUGUCACACUUAUCAGUAUAAUCUUGGAAAGGAAGACUGCAGCAAAGAUUUGCCUAAUGGACUCAACUUUUGACAUGGGUAACAGCAGGUAAAACCAUAACCUUGCCAAAGUGCAGGCAAGCUGGUAUCCCAAAGUCAACUGCCCGUAAGUCCUCCAAGACAAAGUUCAAAGGUCACUCAAGGACCUAUGAUGAAUGAAGGUGUCCAGCAUGAGAAAGAUUAG